rnacentral:rRNA from 1 species
AUUGAACGCUGGCGGCAUGCCUAACACAUGCAAGUCGAACGGCAGCACAGCAGUAGCAAUACUGUGGGUGGCGAGUGGCGGACGGGUGAGGAAUACGUCGGAAUCUGCCCAGUCGUGGGGGAUAACUAGCCGAAAGGUUAGCUAAUACCGCAUACGACCGAGAGGUGAAAGCGGGGGGACCGCAAGGCCUCGCGCGAUUGGAUGAGCCGACGUCGGAUUAGCUAGUUGGCGGGGUAAAGGCCCACCAAGGCGACGAUCCGUAGCUGGUCUGAGAGGAUGAUCAGCCACACUGGAACUGAGACACGGUCCAGACUCCUACGGGAGGCAGCAGUGGGAAUAUUGGACAAUGGGCGCAAGCCUGAUCCAGCAAUGCCGCGUGUGUGAAGAAGGCCUCGGGUUGUUAAAGGUACACUUUUAUCUAGGAACGAAAGACG